UAGCAAUUUGCCUACUCAUUCAUUUAAGGCCGUUCUUGUGAGCCUGUCUGAACACCCAAUAGAAAAUGUGCAAACAUAAAAAUACAGAAGCGUUUCCUGCACUAGCCAUUUGAAAUGAUAAAGUAGGCAACUCCAGCAAAAUGGUUACAUGCAUCCAUAGCACUGUGACGGUGGCUGAGCAAGGGGCUCCUGCUGCUCGGAGGCAUUCUAAGAAGAAAAUCUGAAUUGUUUGGGAGAAGAAUUACACACCUUUGUGACUUAGUUUAUGAAGGAAGACAAUAGGUCUGGUGACCUUAUGAAGGAAGAAACUUUUCCUGUGAGGAAAAGGACUACAUCAUUCAGAAUAUUUCUCAAGAAUGAUUUUCAGCUUGAGAGGAGGAAUGAGCAAACGUGCACAGUCACAGCAUCAAGUGCCAGGAAAACGUGUGUUGUACCACCACUGGAGCCCAUACAGAAGUAAAACAGAAGACAAUGACUGUCACAAGGAUCAUAAAAUUUGAAUAUCAUACAUAAAGGAUUUGCCUGCAUGGCUUUGUACUGCUUUAAUUAUGUUAUAUACAGAGCUGCAGUGUGUGGACCAGCCAAAACACAUUAAAUAUAUAGUUUCUAUUAAGCUUUGCAGCAUAAACAAACCACAUAGCACAGCAAACUGUC